rnacentral:lncRNA from 1 species
UGUGCACCACCCUCUCACCCAAACGAAGGCAGCUGGCCCUGAAGUUCUCUGAGCUUGAGGACAAAAAAAGACCUCUGUGAGUUGUCAGGCUCUGUUACAGUCUGGGUCAGCAGACAAGAGUCCCAGGGCUCGGCCGUCUUCUCUAGGAGAGAAAAUAUUCGUGCCAUAUAGCGUGUUCUAAGAGUUCUCACCAGAAGCCCAGAAAGUUCUGUAUUUACUCAGCAUUCAAGGGAAAACAGACCCUGUAUUUUUGGGAUUCCUGAAAGGUGACCAGAGGAAUAUCCACAGAAGCAGAAGUAGGAAUGGGGAAGGAGGGGACAAGUUUAGACCAAGCUCUUCUGUGACCUCACUUCUGCUUUUGAAGUCCCACAGCUCUAUAAGGCCAGGGUCAAAGGAACCUAAUGUGAAAAUGUUUCAGUCUUUUGAUGAAGUAUUCCAGAACACAGAACUCCUUAUCAUACAGAACAUCAAGUUCCUUUAAGAUAUGGGUUGCUAUCUCCAAUUCAUUUUGGGAAGAGGCUACCUUCAUCCCCAAACAGGAACUGCUGCAAGGCCCGCAGCAGCCAUGGGUGAGUGGCUCUGGAGAUGGGGUAAGUGGCCUACGCACCCCAGAGGAACAGCUGGCAGCCUAGUCUUCGGGCAGCAGCUCCACUCAGCCCUGGGGAAUGACAGAUACAGUGUUCUGAGAUCUUGUUACUGGUGGCGAAUCCAUACAGGUCUGCAGCAACCUCAAUUCUUGCCUCUUCAGAACACAGAAUUCAAC